rnacentral:lncRNA from 1 species
CAAUUCAAAAAUUUAGGGCUUUGACAAAUUCUGUUAAUUGUAAUUAUUUUGUCCAACUCUGUUGUGAUUUUUCUGGACAUAAUUGAUUUUGAAGGCUAAGGAAAGGAUUGGCUUGCUGGUUGUGUUUAUGGUAAUUUUAUGUAUUUUUUGAUUGCUGCUUUAUUAUUUUUAGUUCUUGGUUAGAUGACAGCCAUAAAUUGUGGCUGUGUUUUUGGUUAAUUCUAUUGUUUUAUUUGUUCUGGUUGCUGCUUUAUUUGUAGUUUACGGAAAUUU